rnacentral:misc_RNA from 1 species
AAUUUUUACUAAAGUUAUUGUAGAACAUACAAACAGACGGACAACGACUUUGGCCUUCAGUAAGUCAAUAGUGACACCGCGGAUAACUCUGUUUUUUUUCAAAUAGAUUAUUCCUGAUAUUUUAUACAAUGUUUCAUGCAUAAUAAUAUGACGACUAGCAAUGUUUUUUUCUUACUUGAAAGGCAAAGUAGAAAGAGAAUUUGUAUACGAUAUAUCGAUACAGAGAAAUCGACAUGUUAUGUACUAUCGAAGGUUGUUCAACAGGUAUCGAACUAUCCCUAUCGAUAUAUUGACUAUCGACAGUAACGACCUAACCACCUAACAAGAUGUUGUGAUCUGUAUAAUUCUGUCUAGUCUAGUCCAAAGUGUUCUUAUUUACAUGUUGUUUUCUUAUUAAAAGUGUAAAUUACUUUUUAUAAUUCACAAUGAAAAAAUGUGCACUAUUUGUGUAGACUUUUUAUAGUGACUAACAGACAAGUAAUAACAAUGUCGGCCGAAGUAGAAAUAAUUUGUAGGUUAUGUGGACUUUCUUGUGAACAAUCAAUCAAUAUUUUUGAUAGGCUAGCUUCUGUUAAUAUGUUGCAGUAUAAAAUAAUGCAGUUAUUAGAUAUAGCUGUGGGUAAAAGUGACAAAUUGCCUCAUUCUGUGUGCUUAUCCUGCGUGACCAAACUGGAUAGUUUGUGGUGUUUCAAAAAUACAUGUCAUCAAGUGCAAAUUAAACUCAGGAAAAUGAUAGUUGUUGAUCAAUCAAACCUUCCUGAAUACGAUAGAUUGCAAUCUGAACUUGACAGGGAGCUUUUGAAUUUAGUGAAUUUGAAUCAUAAAACACUCAUCUCAUCUAAAAACACUAGUGCUUCAGAUACAUCUAUCUUUCCUAGACUGUCAAUGGAGGGAGGAAAUGUUGUUUACCAACAUCAAACAGUAUCUAAAAUUAUUGAAAGUGCUUCUGUAUCUGUCAAUGUAGAGGAAGAUGUUCAAAUUGGCUACAAAACUGUAUCACAAAGUAACCCAAAUUCGGAUGAUGAUAGUGAGGGAAAUAUUGAGGACAACUCAAUGUCGUUAGUUAGUGAAGAAGGUGCUAAUGAAGAAUGCAGUGUUAAUAUAGAUGUUGAUAAUGUUUCUAAAAAUAGUGAACAGAUUAUGUGUGAUGAUUCAAGUAGUGUUUUAGACCAUGACGACCUAAACGCUAGGAAUACAAUGCCUAUAGUUAGUGAAGAAGAUGCAAAUGUACAAUGCAGUGUUAAUAUGGAUGUUGAUGAACAAAAUGACACGAACUCUAGAAAUGCAAUUGAGAGUUCUUCUUUGGAUGCUACAUCUAACGUAGAAAUAGUGCAGUUGUUCAAAGACCAUUAUUACAGGAUGGAGACUAACAGCAACUCAGACCUAUUGUCCAAUAGAAUUCCCUAUCUAACUGUUGAAUCUCAAAUGGGUACCAAACACAUGAUAUACACUAUUUCUCCUGAUAUAUCAAAAUUCGAUAGUGAACAUGAUUACCUGAUUGAUAAAUUGUAUCUUGAAUUGGAUAUGUUUGAUUUGGAGAAUCCUAAUGUUGGUCGAAUACUGACUGAAUGGCUGAAUAAUCUUUUGAAUGGCGAAAUAUCAUUAAUGCCCUACUAUUUCGGCUGGCUAGAUAAAAGUAAACUCAAUGUUAGCUUCAGAUGCAUUAUAUGCAAGCAUGUAAUUCCUAGAAACAAGAGAUUUGUAAUGAACCAUCUAGCGGAUCAUCUGCUCUGGAUUUGUCCAGUUUGUGGUAAAUUUUGUAGAACUAUUACCAACUUUAGGAAUCAUUUGCAUCAACAUUCGUCGCCCACUUUUGAAUGUUCAACAUGCGGUAAGAAUCUUGGGAGUGAUAUUGAGAAAUACAAAGUGCACAAGCGUGGUCAUUAUAAGUUCAGAUGUCCGCCUUGUCAGUUUGAGUGUUGUGAUGAAGAAAAGUGGUUGAAGCACUUGGAAAAGGAUAGGAAAAAUAAUGAACUAUGCUCUCCAGAUUGCAGUUUGUUUUAUGAGAGCAUUGACAAAUUUCGAGAUCACGUCCUGGCGCUUGCAACUCUGGGAGGUUAUGUUUGUGGCGCAUGUGGAAUGGCCUAUCAUUGCGAGGAAUAUUUGAAAUUGCAUUUGAAAGUGCAUGGUUUGGAGCAUGGCAGUAAGACUACUUGUGAAGAAAGUUUAGAAAACAAUGACACUAGCUUCAGAAUGAAACUUGAUAGUUUUGCAAACUCUAGCAAUGAGAAACGUUUUGAUACAAUGCAGAAAAUACUUGCCAAUGAAAUCGAUGUGAAGGAAUUUCAAAACUCUCGUAUAAUGACAGGUGGCAAAGUUACUACUGCAUUUAUCUGCUUCAAAUGUGGUCAAGGCGUGAAGACUGAAAAGAAAUUUAGAAUACAUAUUGAAAACCACAUAUCGAUGACUUGCUAUCAGUGUAAGCGGGAUAUGUGGAAAUUAGCUUGUUUUAAAACUCAUCUAAAGCGGUGCCCUUUCAAGAAAAGAAAGUGUGUCAGUUGUAAAAAUGAAAUCUGGCUGAACACCAGUAAAGAAUACAUUGAGCAUGUAACUCUGCAUCAGAAAAGGAAGAUUUGCAUCUAUUGUCAGGUGAUAAAAAAUCCAAAACAGUUGAGUCGACAUAUUGAAUCUGUACAUGUUUCUGAACCAAAAUCUUGGUUCUGUGACAUUUGCAAUGAAACACUGGUUGUAUCCUACAAACAACUCAACCAUUUUCGAUCUAGGCAUAUGGCCGAUAAACAUCCCGAAAAAUUGGAUACAUACAUAUGUGAAGUUUGUGGCAAGACUUUCAAAUUGAAAGGUGACUUAUACCAGCAUAAAUUGUUGCAUAAGGCGGUUGAUAAUCAUGUUGAUAAGCCCAAUUUUAUCUGUGCUUAUUGCAAUAAAAAUUUUGGCAAAAAAGAGUCCCUCAUUAGUCACAUUCAAAGACAUAUGAAUGAGAAAAGCUUUGAAUGUGCGAUUUGUAAAAAAUGUUUCAACCGGUUUUCCUCUUUGGUUAAGCAUCGAAAGGACAUGCAUUCCGUGAAAAAACAUGUGUGUCAUGUGUGUGACAAACGGUUCACAUAUCCUUCAGCUUUGAAUGAUCACAUGAGAAGAGCUCACGAGAAAUGCAGUUUCAGAAAGCCGGGGAUUUCAGCAGACUGCUAACAUGGGGCGUUUGGAGCUUGGAUCCCAGUCUGGAAUAUUUCACCUUUUCAGAAAGCCGGGGAUUUCAGCAGACUGCUAACAUGGGGCGUUUGGAGCUUGGAUCCCAGUCUGGAAUAUUUCACCUGAGAAAAAAGGGUGGAGUGGCCAUUACAAACUGAUCCUUGGACGAUCUUAUGUAGGCUUCUAUAUAUAGGCCUACACCCUCUACUAUUUCUAUGUACAUUCUAUGUACCUACUCUAUAUAGAGGGUACCAACGCUACCUAUGUUUUAUUCAAAGAAUCAGCGAGCGAUUGGGAGCUACACCUCCCAAUAUUCUCUACUCUCAGUUUAAAGUUUAUCUUAUCUACUCUUAUCUCAUCUUAUCUUAUUUACAGUUUAUCUUAUCAUCUUAUCUACUCUUUUUGUCUAGUCUACCUUUGCUAUCAUAUCAGGAAUUUGUUUUUUUUUUUGUUACAAUGAGCCUAAAAAGUAAGAAAUUCUUGGAUAUGCUAGCAGAGCAUUCCCCGAAUUUUAUGAUGGGAAUGACUGGCUUAACAUUGAUACGGAAUAAUUCGUAUCUUGUAGUCGUAGACAUGCGCGAUGUCCUUGUAACUGGCCAAAACCAUGUAAAUCUUGGUAUUCGAAUAUGUCUCGACGACAUGUCUAUUAGGAUACGACCAAAUGAUACAGAAAAGUUCAUUUCAAUGUUUAGCCAGUAUAAGGCUGAUGAACUGCAGAAGCUAGGGCCACACCCUGGCAUCCCCGUAAAAAAGUAUUCUCGGGCAAAAAACUCUACCCCGGGGGAGAGUUUUCAUCAACAGCAGACCUGUGACCAGACUGAACCGUCGACCUGUGACCAGACUGAACCGCCGACCACAAAGAAAAGACGCGGGCGCCCAAGAAAGAUUCCAGUUCCCGAGAUAAUACCCGCUCUUGAAAUCUCACCACCAGAACCCCCAGUCUCUGAAUUGAUCCAAAAUUUGGAGACGAGGGUUCGAGAGAUACUUUGUGGGGACUAUCCGGGAAUUGACGUUGAAUUGGAGUAUGUCUUCAACGACCCCAUAUUCAGCGUCAUUCUUCUCGCGGAGCCUUUGUCCCUCUAUGGUCAUAUUAGGCAAAUGCGGUCAUAUGGAGUGAGUUUGAUUUUUAUUUUGCAUGAUUUAAUAUUGUACAUGGUAAUAAGUAUAUUUAACCGGUAUUUGAACAUACAAAAGAAUGGCCAAUUUUUAUAUUCAAAACUAUGUACCUUUAAAAUAAUAUUAGAUAAAUUUUCAAAAUCUUGUAUGGAUAUGAAAGUACUGUUACACCCCCUUUCUAACAUAAUUAACAAUAUUUUCGAUUUCAAUUUCAAUAUUAUUGAAAAGCUAAUCUCUAAAACAUGAUA